rnacentral:rRNA from 1 species
GACAGAGGUGCCAAGCGUUAGGCGGAAUCACUGGGCUUAAAGCGUGUGUAGGCGGACUGGUAAGUACCUUGUGAAAUCCCACGGCUCAACCGUGGAACUGCUGGGUAUACUGCUUGUCUUGAGUCCGGAAGAGGUGAGUGGAAUUGCGAGUGUAGAGGUGAAAUUCGUAGAUAUUCGCAGGAACACCAGUGGCGAAGGCGGCUCACUGGUCCGGUACUGACGCUGAGGUGCGAAAGCGUGGGGAGCAAACAGG